rnacentral:rRNA from 1 species
CCUACGGGAGGCAGCAGUGGGGGAUAUUGCACAAUGGGGGGAACCCUGAUGCAGCGACGCCGCGUGGGUGAAGGAGUGCUUCGGCAUGUAACGCUCUAUCGGCAGGGAAGAAGAAAGACGGUACCUGACUAAGAAGCCCCGGCUAACUACGUGCCAGCAGCCGCGGUAAUAAGUAGGGGGCGAGCGUUAUCCGGAUUCACUGGGUGUAAAGGGAGCGUAGUCGGCCAAGCAAGCCAUGUGGGAAAGCCCGGGGCCCAACCCCGGGACCGCCCUUGGAACUGCAUGGCUUGAGUGCGGGUGGGGCAGGCGGAAUUCGUGGUGUAGCGGUGAAAUGCGUAGAUAUCAGGAGGAACACCGGCGGCGAAGGCGGCCUGCUGGACCGCGACUGACGUUGAGGCUCGAAAGCGUGGGGAGCGAACAGGAUUAGAGACCCCUGUAGUC